ACCUACCAAGGAAAUCACGUGAUGAGUCCUUUGUGAGCAAAAUUAUCCAAACUCAGUGCCAUCAGCAUACUUUGAUUACAAGAAUUUCCACGUUGGGCAAGGACUACAGCUGCCCUCAGGCAGUCUGGCUAAUUUUUGAAAAGUUUUAGUGGAAACUUUUUGUUAUAGAAGUUGGAGAAAGCAAAGAGAGAUGACAUUUUCCAGAUUUGAUCUUCAUAAUUUGGUAGAGCCUAAAGGAAAAAGUAACAGUUAAAAACAACUCGGGCACUUCAUGAGCAGUCAUGAAGCAGCAGAAUUCAUGACAAACAGGAAGAUCCGCAAUGUGCUUCAGCAGAGCAGAUUAUAGAAAGUCAGAGAACUAGUAAGUGAGAUCCUGUGGGAGACAAUUCUGAGAGAGAGUUAAGCACAGUAGGCAGUUCUUUAAAGAACUAUGGUAAAUGCAAGUUUAUGCAAAACUAUGCAAAAGAAACUAUGCAAAAUUGCAAGUUAUGACAGUGCGGAGGAAGGAUAAGAGCUGUAGAUCACUCACCAAGGAAAAGACUUUAAAGAAAGAUGAAUGGGUGAACAUUUGAGGCCGAAGAGAGAAAGUCAAAAGCAGAGAGUGAAACCAUGUGACGCAUAAGUGGCAUUUCCUCUCAGCAUGUUAGUGCACUGACAAGUACAGGAGGCUAAGGAAAGGCUGGGUCCACUUCUCUGCAGAGUGAAGAUUAUUGGCAAACAAUGGCUGGAAAGCUGAAAAGGAGCGAGGAGCUUGGAGAAGAUCGUGAGAUGAACGGGAGUUGGUAAGGCCAUGCAGCUGCGAAAAAGCAUUUGCCAUCCUGCAUUGUGGUGCUAAUCCUGGAGGAAACGAAAUCAGUUUCCAGCUCCCUGGGCUCCCUGCCUGCCCUGGGCUUGCUGGUUACAAGGGCCAAGAAUCUGACAGUGGGGACUGUCUCCAUGAGUACGUUCAGCUUGUGACAGGUUUUGUAACACAGGCAAAGUAGACAUCCAGUCUCCCAUACUAGUCAAUGACAUCCAACCUACAAAACCAACGCGUCUGGUAAGAGACUCGGCUCAUCCUGAGGUAGAGACUCACUCCCCGGGCUCUCUCCACUGACUCGGAAGAGAGGUCAGACACCUGCCUCUGCAACAAUAACACCUGUAAGUAGAUGACUAGGGCUGGUUGUCUUCAGUUGCAAAUAGAACACCUCCCUGAAUCUCCUGUUAUCAUUGCCCUGAAAGGGACCUGCUUUUGUAGGAGUUAAUGGAGCUGUACAGGAGUGCUUGGGGUACUAUUGUGCAAAGUAGGGGACACUGUGGGAUUUCUAAAUCCUUCUUCCCACUCCUGGUCACUUAUUUAUGAAGCAAAGGAGAUGAAAAUGCCUUUUCCUUUCUCUUUCCCAUGGUCCUGUUACAACACAUAACGCUUUCUACCGUUCUCUUUAAAUAAUUAUAAUUUUGAAGCUACUAGCACAUACAGAGUUGUUUUUCCUUGUCUGCUUACGGACUUAAGUGUUGCAAGUAGCAGUUUAAAGGGUGACUGAAAACACUGUGGUAUUGUAGCCUGAACUCCAGUCAGACCCCUUUCCAGCAAGCAUCCAAGCCUGGCCUCCCAUCUCUCUACAUUCCUGGAGGUCCUCACUGCUUCCCCCAUCAGUGUGAUGCCCUUGUGAACUUCUUCCUGCAGAGAACAUUUCUGCAGAAUAAUAUUUGUUGAAAGCUUCAACCAGCUGACAGAUUGCAGCAAGCAGCUUCUUUCUCUGGAGAUUUUUGCCGACAGUCAUGCUCAAGUGCCUGGGGCUGGGCAAGGCUGGCUCAAUGACUGCUGUACAUACCCAAGAACUGCCUAAUUCAUGUAAAUCAGGCAGGGCAAAAUGCUUUGUGGUAAGGAAGGGUAUGUCUACAGAGGCAGAUACCUACAGGUGCAGUACAUCUCUAAUCUGGAAGCUUUGUACUCUGUGUGAUCUAUUCUGCUUCUUAGGAAGGCCUGACAUCAUAUAAGCUUGGCUAUCUGAUGUCUGCUAAAGGAAGGGGUUUCUGUCAAAAGAAAUCUACACAAUGAAUAGAAAACUACAUUCAUCUUAGUAUCGUUUUUGUUUCGUAGUCUUUCUGUAUUACCCAACUGUCCUGUUGUCCAUCUCCAGCUCUUGCUUUCCUUGCUGGACAUUCAAUAAUAUUUUCCAUUCUGAACUUUCUCUGCUAUUGGAUGCUUUUUUGUCAAAAGCAUAAGCAGGUCUAGCAGCCACUCUUCUGAGAAGAAGGCUAGCACUCAAUUAAGGUACUUUAAACUUCGGUGCACCAGACUCUCUAAUGGCAUCUGCAAUUUGAAUACAGAAGAAGUGGUUAAGACAAGAUAUUAGGCUGCUAGGACCCGGCAUCAGAUCUGUUCAAAGGUGAUGGAGAAAAAAUGAAGAGUCAGAAGACCCAGAAUUGCAGUCCUUACCUAUCCCCCAGCCUGCUAAUCAUUCCCAAUUUCUUUUUUCACAGCUCUUUUCUUCACUAAUGGUUGGCACAAUCAGACCAUAGGUCAUCAACUUAGUGCGAAGAAAAUGUCAGCAUAACCCAAGCAGAGCGUUUAAUAGCUAAAUGGCUUUUCAAGAGUAAGAACUCACACUUGUAAAUUAAUCAUGCUGCAACAGUCUCACUCUAGGCUAACUCAACAUACCAAUUUAACUCAUUUUCUGUGUUCUGAAUGUGGAAACAUUAAAUCUAGGUCAAUAUUUUCAGUAAAUUCAAUAAAUUAUUCACUGAGUCAAUUAUUUUCUUGAGAUCUUUUGUACCACAAAUUUUCUACCUCAUGCCAUGGAACCGUUUUAGCAUUCAAGGAAAGAAAACAUUCUUAUCUGCAAAGGAACUGUGCAGACUUGCAUCUUAAUUCUGAAUUUAACAUCACUAGAUAUUGCAUAGCAGGAGGUAAGCAAAUUUCACCCCACCACACAUUUGAUUAUCUUCAGACUGAGACAUACUUGUGUCUAUAUCAGCUUAUUCACAAAGUCAAGAAGGUGAAAAUCCUUCAUUAAUGUAAUAAAAUUUGUAUAUUCCUAGAAGCAAGUCAUUAAGCAAUUUGUCUAUCAUUGGCUGGAAACCGUAAUACAGUUUCAGAUCACUUGCCUGAUCUUGUAAAUCAAAAUGUGAUCAUUAUGAUUUAGCAAAUAAUAUUUUUUUAACUUAUUUCCAUUUCGAUAUUUGCAGCUUACAUGUAGGAUCAUCAAAAUCACACCAAAGAAAAAAUUAGAAGUGAAAAUUAGAAGUAAAAAAUGGAUAAUAGUCUCCUGUCUCUGUUAGAUUUAUAGGCUUUUGACAGAAGUGAACUGUAAGAAAAAGUUGAAUGAAAGAUAUGGACAUCAGAAAUGCAAAGUUGAAUAGGCAGUUCUAAAAAUAAGGGCUGGGCAGAUGAAAGAAAGAGAAGAAUACAAGAGGAUGCAAAGAGAGGGUUGGGAGGUCCACCAACAUGGGGAGGGGCAGAUUUAGACACGCUGUCAUAAAAAAUUCACAGAGCUCAACCGCAGUAGAUCAAAAGUUAAAAGGAAAUCUUCCAGUAAAAUCCUGUCAAAAUUGACAUGCUCAACAUGCUGUUCUUUACCAAGCCAACCCCAGCAGCUGUACUGGUAAUGAAUGGCUUGAACCGAGAUGCUGCCGUAGAAGUUUCUGUCGUAUUGGCCAGCUGAUGCUCAUCGGCUGUGGCAGGUGUUGUUGAAGCUGGCAAAGGCAUCCCACUCUGUCUGUCAAAUUUGCUUUCCCUUCUCCCCUAAGUGUUCCUUUUGCUUUUCAUCACUGUCACAGCCACCCUCCGCAAGAGGUCCUCUUCCUCAGUUGCACUCUCAGCGAAAAGUCGAGAGUGUCAGACAUACAGGACCACACAGUCAGAACCUCCGCUCCCACUCACUUCCAAAAAUUGAACCUUUCCCCCUUUCUGCAGCCUUGACCUGCUAAUGGUGCUGGUAGGAGGAGUAGUGUUAGUGCUGCUCCACUGAGUUGGGAUUUGAAAUGUUCAUCAGGCCAUUCAUUAAAGCUGUAAUUAUUAAUAGGUAUUUUUAAAAAAAGGCAUCAGUGUCAUGCAUUAUUUUUUUCACAGCCUGACUUCUGAUGACUAAGGAACAGCCAGAAAGAAGAGAGAGACUGUUUUCACAGUGGCAUACUUGGACGUGUUUAAUGAGAACUUUUUAUCUUCGAGUUGAACAAACCGUUUUGAAGAGCCCUGCUGUCAAUGGGUUUUGCAGUUAUAUUGACUACUGUACAGAGAAGAGGU